rnacentral:lncRNA from 13 species
AGCUUGUUUCAUUUUUGUUUUUUAAAUCAUUUCUUCUGUCCUAACUUGACCUCUCCUAUCUCCAGUGUAGGUUAGAUGAGAAUGGAGCUGGUGAAUGAGCAGAAGAGAAGGUUGGAAGGUUGGAAGAGUCCCAGCGGAAGGAGCCCCAGUCCAUCUAAUUCCAAGCUCAUACUUCUCCCACUGUACCUCACAACUCCCUUCUACGGACUACAGUUUUUCUUAUUGUAAAUUCUUCAUUUCGUUUGGUAGCUUGGAUGAGGUAAAACUGCAAGCUCCCAAGGGAAGCGCUUCAUUAUUUUGAGCUCCACAAAGCACAUCUGCACGUAGUCACCUUUUCAAAUUUCUGCUAAAUCAGCCAGUAAGCUCUUAGUGAGAACCAAUAUAUAGUUUCGAGUUCCAAAGGAUUAUGGCACUGCAUGUGCAGAUCUUGAGCCAUGAAGACAGAUGGGACAGUGAAAUUAACCUAACCAGUGACAUGCAGAUACCUUAGACUUCUAUUUUCUCCAUGAGUAAAGCACCAACUCAGAUGCCAUGGUGUCACAGGGCUUGGCAGACCAACUCAAGGAGAGAAAAGAAUCCAAAGGCAACUUUCUUCUCAAACAACAAUUUCCUUGGGCUGGACAUGGUGGCUCAAGCCUGUAAUCCCAGCACUUUGGGAGGCCAAGGCGGGUGGAUCACGAGGUCAAGAGAUUGAGGCCAUCCUGGUCAACAUGGUGAAACCCCGUCUCUACCAAAAAUACAAAAAUUAGCUGGGUAUGGUGGUGCGCGCCUGUAAUCCCAGCUACUCAGGAGGCUGAGGCAGGAGAAUUGCCUGAACCCAGGAGGCGGAGGUUGCGGUGAGCCGAGAUCACGCCAUUGCACUCCAGCCUGGGUGACAAGAGUGAAACUCUGUCUUGGAAAAAAAAAUUUUUUCUUGGAUCAUCUCUUUCAUAAAAUAAUAAUUACCAGUUUCCUUCUGUACCUGUUUUUUUCUUUUGGAGACAGAGUCUUGCUCUGUCACCAGGCUGGAGUACAGUGGCCCAAUCUCUGCUCACUGCAACCCCUGCCUCCUGGGUUCAAACAAUUGUCCCUGUCUCUCACAAGUAGCUGAGAUUACAGGCACCUACCACCACACUGGGCUCA